AAAGACAGGCAUCUUUUCCAGAAUUGCUUUUACACUCCUUAGCAACCAGCGCAGUGUGCAUGCCAAGCAACUUAGCAGGUGAAGAAGCCCAACCAUAGGCCAGGCAGAAGAACUGCAGUCAAGUCCAGCUACCAACUGAGUAUACUUAAUCAGGAUCCAAGCAGUUCAGAAAUAGUCAAUUGUUGACUAAAAUGAAACAUAGAAUUAGGCUAAGUCUUUACUCGCAAGAAUCUAGACCCCAUGAAGGACUUGCCAAAUCUGCUUACAGGUGUGCGGGAUGUCUGGGACUUUGCAGCAUGAUUUAAUUUUGUUUCUUUGGCAGGGCUUGAAGACAAAGGAAGAGCUCAAGAACCAAGAUUGCAGUUUGAUUGAUUUUCUCAUGCUAAAUUGACUGCAUAAUGCAAUCCACACCUUAAAAACUGGUAAGAAAAUGUUUUUGUAGUAGAGGUGGACAGAAAAAGCUAUUUUUAUUUUGGACGAACUGGUGAGAGCUGAUGAUGAGUUCUUGUAGGUUAUCCUGUGUCAGAAUAUGAUUUGCCAGCUGUGGUUGAAUGGCAGUACUUGCAAUUGCAGCAUUUGUUGGCCAGGCCUGCCAACAUUUACAGCAUCAGAGACCCUGUCUUUAUUGACAUCACUUAUGGAGGCUGCUUAGGCAAAGUGAUCUACCAUCCAUGCCUGCUAUAGAUGAUGAUGCACAGCAUUUUAAUUAAAAAUGGAAUAGGGGACUGUCCCAUUUGCCUAAUCUUUGGUAUCUAUAGCUAUCACAUCUCUUAAGCUGUAUGUGAUACAGCAAAAAAAUUUGUUUUAUGUUUGCUCGAUGCCACAAUGUCUCUUUAAUAAGGGUUUCCCUGAUUUGGCUAAUUGUUUGGAGGUGAAAUGCAGCUAAAGUUUCUUCUUCAGGGGCAAUAUAGUGAUGUCCAGUAGUUAUUUGUUCUGGGAGGAGGUUAUUAUAUGGAUAGGUUUUGUACUGGAGUAGCUUUAACAUUUGCUGACGUACAUGCUCUUUUAAAUUAUCUACCUUCUUGAAUAUUAACCAAUGGUCAGUGUAAAUGUAUUUUCCACAUGCUUUUGACAACUUCUGUUCAGUUGCAAAGUCAUGCCCAACUCUUUGCGACCCCAUGGACAACACUUUUGGCAACUAAAGGACUGAAAUUAUAACAUUGGAAGGGUAAACACAUCCAAUUAUGUAGUGGACUGAGGACUUCACAAGAAGUGUGAUAUUUGAGUAGGUGGUGGUAUGUAGAUGCUCUAUUGAUACUUAUUUGGAUAUCUAGUUUGCUUUUCUUGAAGCUCAUGUAUAAUUGUUAUAAGGUUGUAUUUUCUUUUAUAUGCUCUCAUAUGUAGUCAUUGCUAUGGAUAUAUACAAAAUGAUUGAAAUGUAUGAAUGGUAGUUAAACAUGAAAAAACAACAAGAAAAAAACUAUUUGUAACAUCAAAUGAAGUCUAGCUGCGCAAUGCUAGAAAAAUAUCAAUGAAUGGUAAGUGACCCUUGGGAUUACUACAUUUGAGUGCAUCUGACUUUCAAUAUGGAAAAGGCAGAGAACUGGUUGGUUGAAUUCCAGCAUGGCUUAAGUAGAUUCGGGUGGGAGGGUGAGGAUGUACUAAGAUUACUUGUUCUUUUAGUUCUAGUCACUUCCUCCAAGUCCCUCCACCCCUACAGCUUCUGGGAGCCUUAAAGAGUUUGAAGUAUUAUCAUCUUCAAGUGAUGACAGACAGAUUCUGGGACCCAGUGCGGCCUGGCCUGGCUAUGACCAUUCCUUCCUCUUUAUCUGGCUGGUGCCUUCAUUGGCUUGUUGUAGGCUCAUAUUUCCAGUCACGCUUUGCCCUCGCUACUGAUAUCUUGCUGUAUCUGGUUCUCUCCACUCCCUGUCUGUCUUUGUUUCCCUCCCAUUGUUUCUUGGCUGUAUCUAACGGACAUACAGUCCAGUUACUAGCAGAAUAUGCCCAAUUAUCUUGGAUUGUUUAGAGAUGGAAUUGUGUUGUAAAUUUUAGUCUUGUCUAGGACAGAUGCUUUAUGGUUGGUGUUUGUUGCUUGCUGUUUUUAUGAAUUUGUUGUUGUUUUAUCUCUGUAUCAAGUUUUAUUAUAUGGGACUACUUUUAUCCUGCUCUGAAAGAUGGGUGAGAAAUAUUUUAAAUGAAGAAAAUUUUAAAAAAUAAAGUUAAAUAUUUAAAGAC